GUCUGCUCUCAAAGUUGAUGUAGCCAUCUAUGUGAUUACUUUGGACUUCAGAAGAAAAAAUGGAAGAAGAAAAAGUUCAGGGAAAUGGACAAUAGAGCAAUCUUAAAGUUUCAAGUGUUUCAGGAUUGAUACUGCCAAAUGCGAAGAUAUUUGAAUGAAAAGUGUCUACUAGGAUACCAGGCUAGAACUUCAAUUUAAAGAAUAAAAUACUAUGGAGAUAUUAAAACACCAGAAAGUGGAAGAAGCACUAAAUAGUCUUUCAAGAAAUAGAAGCAAUUCCCAGAAAGGGUGUAGCCUCCAUCUGGCAACAGGAUUCUCAAAGAAUAAGGAGAGAAUAUCGGGACAUGGACAUUCAUCCUCCUACCAAGUCCUCUGGAUUGGUUCUGUUCUCAGAUAGUCUUUCUUAAAAAUGUGGAAAGUAUGCGGUGUUUUAAUCUGUUUGGACUCAUAAAGAAUUGCCACAGAAUGAAUGAAUUCAACAGUAGAAAUUUAUUUGCUUACAGUUCUGAAGCCUAGAAGUCCAAGAUCAGGGUAUUAGCAGAUUUGGUUUCUUCUGAUACAUGUCCCCUUGUCUUGCAGGUGGUCACCUUCUUGCCAUAUCCUUACAUGGUUUUCUGUAGGUCCAUAAGCUAAUUUUCUCUUCUUAUAAGAACACCAUUCAUAUUGGGUUAGGGUUCACCCAUAUGAUCUCAUUUUACCUUGAUAACUGUUUUAAAGG
rnacentral:lncRNA from 1 species